rnacentral:rRNA from 1 species
GACGAACGCUGGCGGCGUGCUUAACACAUGCAAGUCGAACGGUGAAGCGCCUUCCUUUUUGGUGGGUGUGGAUGAGUGGCGAACGGGUGAGUAACACGUGAGUAACCUGCCCCCUUCUUCUGGAUAACCGCAUGAAAGUGUGGCUAAUACGGGAUAUUCUGGGUCUGUCGCAUGAUGGGUCUGGGACAGAUAUUGUUUCGGUGGGGGAUGGGCUCGCGGCCUAUCAGCUUGUUGGUGGGGUGAUGGCCUACCAAGGCGGUGACGGGUAGCCGGCCUGAGAGGGUGGACGGUCACACUGGGACUGAGACACGGCCCAGACUCCUACGGGAGGCAGCAGUGGGGAAUAUUGCACAAUGGGCGCAAGCCUGAUGCAGCGACGCCGCGUGAGGGAUGGAGGCCUUCGGGUUGUGAACCUCUUUCGCCAGUGAAGCAGGCCUGCCUCGUUUGUGGGUGGGUUGACGGUAGCUGGAUAAGAAGCGCCGGCUAACUACGU